CAUAGAGCAGCGCUGUCAUCGCUCAUCAAAUGAAAGGAUAAUGUUAAUGUUAUACGGGUAAUGUUACCACAAAGAGCCUAUUGCUUUCUUCAGCGGACAUUCAAACUAAUGUUUUGAAUUGUGAAUAUGAUAAAGUAUUGAGCUGAAGAAUGGUUUCUGUAUCAUGCAGAAGAAAGCCGUACACGUCUUAUUGCUUCGACUGACCUGAUUGGGAGCUGAUGUGGAUGUAUUGUUGCAGGCCGUCAUAUGGCGACAAUGCUUCUACCAUAUUUUUGCUGUCCCGCAACUCCUGUAUAUUGCUGUCCAGAAUACGAAAGCAGAAAUUUCAAACACUGGUUGUUUCCAUGCAGUUCCAGUUUAUGGUGACUGAAGCUUUGGAGCCUCAAAAAGAACACAAAAGAG